rnacentral:rRNA from 1 species
AUUGAACGCUGGCGGCAGGCCUAACACAUGCAAGUCGAACGAGUGGCGGACGGGUGCGUAAUGUCUGGGAAACUGCCUGAUGGAGGGGGAUAACUACUGGAAACGGUAGCUCAUACCGCAUACCAUCGGAUGUGCCCAGAUGGGAUUAGCUAGUAGGUGGGGUAACGGAUCACCUAGGCGACGAUCCCUAGCUGGUCUGAGAGGAUGACCAGCCAAACUGGAACGUAGACACGGUCCAGACGCAUACGGGAGUCAGCAGUGGGGAAUAUUGCACAAUGGGCGAAAGCCUGAUGCAGCCAUGCCGCGGUUAUGAAGAAGGCCUUCGGGUUGUAAAGUACUUUCAGCGGGGAGGCGUUACCCGCAGAAGAAGCACCGGCUAACUCCGUGCCAGCAGCCGCGGUAAUUC